rnacentral:lncRNA from 1 species
CAGCAGUGUGAAAAAAUAAAAGAAAUCCGGUAUGGAGAGAGAGCUGAACUUCCAUGAUUCUAUGAGUUAAUUAAUGUACAGUGCACACCAGGGAAACAAAGAAAAGAGCCACUUGUGACCCCCAUGCUCUAACCUCUGGGACCACUGAUAACUCCAAUGAUCACAGGCUCUCUUCUCAGGCAGGGACAUGCAGUCUUGAGGAAACUCAAGAAUGGGUUGACACUUCUACCAGCCUUUCGGCUGCCGCAUGUUGCAGUGAUAUUAAGCCUGAUAAGGUGAAGUGCUUCUAGACUAACAAUACCCUGGAGGCUAAGGCAGAACAAAUACAAAGUUGGAGGCCAGCUUGUGCACAAAAGUUAGACACUACAUCAAAAGUGAAGAAAAAAAGAGAGAA